AGGCUUGUUUUAAGUUGCCUGCGACUCAUAUUGGACACAGGCAGCUAAAGCAAGUCUG
rnacentral:pre_miRNA from 1 species